UAGGGAAUAUUGGACAAUGGGGGCAACCCUGAUCCAGCCAUGCCGCGUGAGUGAAGAAGGCCCUCGGGUUGUAAAGCUCUUUUGUCCGGAAAGAAAAGCAUUCGGUGAAUACCCGGAUGUUCUGACGGUACCGGAAGAAUAAGCACCGGCUAACUUCGUGCCAGCAGCCGCGGUAAUACGAAGGGUGCAAGCGUUACUCGGAAUUACUGGGCGUAAAGCGUGCGUAGGUGGUUGUUUAAGUCUGAUGUGAAAGCCCUGGGCUCAACCUGGGAAUGGCAUUGGAAACUGGGCAGCUAGAGUGCGGUAGAGNGUAGUAGAAUUCCCGGUGUAGCAGUGAAAUGCGUAGAGAUCGGGAGGAACAUCUGUGGCGAAGGCGACUGCCUGGACCAGCACUGACACUGAGGCACGAAAGCGUGGGGAGCAAACA
rnacentral:rRNA from 1 species